rnacentral:rRNA from 1 species
AUGCAACCCCGCAACGGCCGAUACAAGGAGAUGAAAGAAAGCAAAAACGCUACGACCAAUGAAGAAAAAGACUAUAGCUUGAGAAGCUGCUGCCCACAAUUGAAGCAUGCCGCAGACGCUAGCUAUAGAACAGGGGCGUCCAAAGAAGACACGGCCAUGAUUGGAACACCAAAGCCACCAGGAGGAAAUAGAGCACGCCAUGGCCACCAUCUCACCUACCAUCAUGUCCUAAUCGCCGUAGAGGGGACCACUAUCCCCUCUUGCCCAGGUCGAGGCCAUCGAUCCACCGGACUGACAGGACCACACGAAGGAGAGCACGGCGGCCGGAGGAGCGGACCGGUCAUGCAUGGUGAAGUGUUACCGCUUGCAGAAGUAGCCGCCGCCACCAAGAGCACCCGAAGCACACAGCAACCGACCCGCCUCCCCACAGACCCAAAACAGCGCCUUCAAGAAGGUAACGGCGCCGUCAUGGCGCCGCCGCCGCCCAAACCGGAGUUCUGGGUUUUCACCCGGGUGCAGGGGAAGGAGGAGGAGGGGGAGGUGAACUUCAACGUCACCUUCAAGAAGGGGAACAGCGCCCGAAGCGCCGCCAACGAGGUGGCCGCCGCCUACGGCCAAGGGGUUACCCCGAUUUAG